GACGAACGCUGGCGGCGUGCCUAAUACAUGCAAGUUGAGCGAUGAAGAUUGGUGCUUGCACCACUUUGAAGAGCAGCGAACGGGUGAGUAACGCGUGGGGAAUCUGCCUUUGAGCGGGGGACAACAUUGGGAAACGAAUGCUAAUACCGCAUAAUAACUUUAACCAUAAGUUUUAAGUUUGAAAGAUGCACUUGCUUCACUCAAAGAUGAUCCCGCGUUGUAUUAGCUAGUUGGUGAAGGAAAGGCUCAACAAGGCGAAGAUACAUAACCGACCUUAGAGGGGGAACGGCCAAAAUGGGACUGGGAAACGGCCCAAACUCCUACGGGAAGCAGGAAUAGGGAAUCUUCGGGAAUGGACGAAAGUCUGAACGGGCAACGCCGCGGGGGUGGAGGAGGGUUUCGGGUCGGAAAACUCUGUUGGUAGGGAAGAACGUUGGUGGUAGUUGAAAGCGCAUAAAGUGACGGUAACUACUCAGAAAGGGACGGCUAACUACGUG
rnacentral:rRNA from 1 species